ensembl:lncRNA
GCGCGCGUGCGCAAUUGCGCACUGCUGACACUUUCUCCGCGCACAGAAAAUCUGCGCUGCGCACAAAAAAAACAAACAAAAAAAAUCCAACCUAAAUUGUAAAUAAAAUAAACACGUAACAAUUCAUUCUGUGCUAUUUUUCAAUGUGAGUCAGUGAGUGACCGGUGACUGGCUGCUGCAGCCAAUGAUGCGAUUCACAUACGUAUUUACCAUAGACUGUAUAUAAUGGUAUUUACGCAGCUAAUCUACGUCAGACGUCCUUAUGUGCAGCUACCGUUGUUGUCAUAGAUAUGAAUGAGUAGAUAGGACACGCCCCUUUGAGCUGCGUGCUACAGCGAGGCUAAGCUAGUGGGGAAAAAGUUUCAGUGCAUUCCGUUGAUGUAGACGGCGUGAAAACGGAAACAAGAAGUAUGCCGGCUCACUGUGCUGCAUACAAUUACACACUACGUUGUACGAUUGAGACAAGGAAACUUGGAAUGACUUUUCAUAGGUAAGAAUAGUUUUUGGCCCUUUUUUCAUUAUGAAAUCUUGUUGAGAGCUUCCAGUCUAUGAGAGCUAACUAGUUAGCCACUAGCAAAACGCUAAGGCGAGCUAGCAGCUUGACAACCAAAUACUAGACGAUUAAUAGUAGCUGUAGUAUAGUUGUACAAGCAGUAGUAGUAAUACUAAAAGUACAAGCAGCAGUAGUAGUAUAAACAGCUGUUAGAGUCGUAGAAGUAGUAUCAGCAUUUGUAAUAAUAUUACAAGUUGUAGUAGCAGUGCCAGUAUCAGCAGCAGUAGUGUGUACUACUAUUAGUAGUCACAUUACUAUUACUACCACCAAUACUACCAAUAGUAGUUAUAAAGCCUAACUCAGAUAUAUCCAGAUUACCAUCUAUGUUCUUCCUCCAAACCCAUUUUAUGAUUGGGAUUACAGGCAGUUCUUUAGGACUGCUCUCAAAUAAUUGAAACGUUAUUAAACAAGGUUAUACUUAUCAAAUUAAAUAGCUCUGGUCUCCAGUAUAUUGGCGAAUUCAGUUCUUUGUACUUAAUUUAUUAGCAUGAUUCCUUUUUAAUAUGUUGUGUACAGACUUAUUUACUUGUCUGUCUACUUUUCUUACUCCAUGUAGGUUUCCCAGAGACUAUGGGGUUGAGGAGGAAUUGGAAGUUUGUCGGCUUAGACCUGGUGUCAUUCCAUCAGUGUUAAACUUCCCGGCUCAUCUUGGAAGAGUACGUGCCAGAAAGACCACAACCAAUCAGCCUUGAGAUCUUAGGCAGCGUCUCCCUGAGGUCCCUCUCUAUCUCCCCACACAUCCACCAACCACUGGAACACAUCUCCAAAGUUCUGCUGGGCCAGCUCAGCUUCCCCUCAGAAGAAGUGCUGCCACCUGCCAGAUGAAGGAGCCUUUUGAGAGGCAGCUGACAUCGUGAUUGGACUGUACUUUGGUCUGUUCCAAUCCAGCUUCAGCUCCAGAGACGGCAGGCAGGACGAGUCAACGGAGGCCUGGUGGACGAAGGCAUGCAGCUGAGUACAAUCCAGAAAACAACAGAGGAGGAGUGCAGGGCCAGAACAACCAGAGUAGCAUCGUAUGUCUCUUAGAAAACAUCAUAGUAUAGCCUUUGCUAUGAAAAAACACCAUCAUAUACAUCGUAUAUUGUACAAAUAACAAGUCAAAGGAAAGAGACAUACAUUGUAGAAUUGUAGUAAUUGUGGGCUGACUGAUUUGCUGAUUAUCAGUAUUUUAUUUUUUGCUGAUUUACGGUAAUAAAUACAUUUAAAAAUGGUGCUACUUUGGCUCUGAACCUUUAUCUACCUGUGGUCGCUCUGUCUUCUGGAGUGAUUUGAUUGGUCAUACGUAACGAAUAAAACUCCUUUAACUUAACAUCUGUAAACAAAACAAAAACGUAUCAACAAAGUUUUCUGUUAGAGUUUGUGUUCUUCAAAGUUUAACUCCAAGAUUUUAAAUACUUUCAUUUACUGCAAAUGAAUAUCUACUCCAAAUGUCUCACUAAUAAUCAUUAUCAGCCUUAAAAACCCACAAAACACCCCUCUAUACUGGACCACACUUAGUACAGUCCGGUUCCCCCUUCUAUAAAUCUGCUUGGAAUCUUCCACUUCCUGUUUGUCAAAGUGGCCUUCUACCUGGACAGGUUUUGUUGGAGCUCAUGCAACAAACAUUUUGGGUAACUGCACUUUAAUAUGGAUGGAUGACACUGAAUUAGAGUCUGUUUUAAUGAGAUUGAGUUAAGAUGUGUAGCUCUGUCAUUAAAUAGUAAAUUAUUUCUCUGAAUUCACAGAGAAAAGUCUGAAAUGUUUGCUAGGUUAGCAUCCCACAUGUACUUUGGCUCAGCUAAAGCUAACUCUCUCCAACUUCUGGAUCUCUUCAGUUGCUUGUUGUUAAAAUGUCUUGCUGGAGGUGCUGAAGCUCAGAAAGUCUGAGAUGUUUGUUCAAAAUAAGCUCAUUCUCAAGUCUUAUCUAAACUGUCCUCUUUUGUUUGAACUUUCCCUAAACUUAGGAGUUAAUGACAGAGCAGCACAUCCAGACUCAGUCUCAUUUAUGUAGCGAUUAAACUUCAGUGUCAUUCAUUGAUGUUAAAGUGCAGUUUUUCAAAUGUUUGUUGCACAUUCUCCUGACCAAACCAGUUCAGGUGGAAGACGACGUGAAGAGAAAGCUCCAGAGGAUGAAUAUCACACAUUUACGU